UAAUCUGCGUUGUGAGAUUGAUCAUGCUCAAUAAAGUCUAAUGCAUCUUCCUUGGAGACAACAUUGACACGGCUCACCCUGUUCUUAUGUGUGACCCCAUAUAUCUUAUCAGCAACUUUCACAAGCUCCGAUCGGAAUGUUGUUGUUAUAAAUUGUGUAUUUGCCAUGUCAGCCAGACGACGAAUCAUAUCUAGCAAACAAAUGGUCAAGGAUGUCCCACCCACAUGAUACCUCAGAUGAACACAAAUUCAAAAUGCUUUAAAAAUGCAUGCACAACUACAAACCAACAGUAGUAUUCCUAUCAUCAGUACAGGUGCGAGUCAAUAUUUUGCCACAUAAAAAGAUCAGCAUGCUCUGAGAAAGCAAGGACAGACCUACUGUCAUUGAGAAGUUAUCCUCAUAACAAAUGAACAAAUCCAGCUUCACUUGAACAGGUUGCCCAUAGGAAGAGACAAAACCCUUCACAUAGAUGAUUUGUUUAGUUUCUUUCUGAAAACAUUUUCUGAUUGUACGAUUUUCACAUAAUUCAAAGGGAAAUCAAGAAUUAUACACCAGAGAACAUUUUGGUAACAGUUGAAGAGUUAAAGGACACCAAGAGGAUACCCUGAAAAUGGGCUAUUUCAUUCCAUGAGGCAUGAGGAAUGGAGAAUGUAUGAGGAAAGAAAAAGUGUACAAAGAUCGAAAAGAGUGCUUUCCCCCUUUUUCCAAAAUAAUAAAAAGGGUUAACUAAACAAUUAUCAGAUAUCAUUCAAGCAACAGUGAUUUCACAAUGACUUCUGUUAAGGGAUGAUUCUCAACCACCUAAACCAAUGAUGAUUAGUAGGAACAAAUAUCAAGAAAACUUGCAAUCAACUAGCCAUGACAUUUAAACAUAUCUUAAUUCCAAUAAAGAUUUCAACAUGAAGCUGACUGCUGAUAUUAGUGAGGUGAUAACUUAGUGUUCCAUAGAUAUCUCCUCGUACUGAAGUGAAGCUAUAUGAGCUAUAGUACAAAUCUCCCUAUUCAUGAUCACGAGUAAACAAACUCCCUGGGCAUAGGUUAAUGCAGCUACAGACAAAUAGAGUUCAUGAAAGGAAAAUAGAUUUUAACAGGUAUACAUUUAGCUGCAUAAAAGUUUGAGCCAACAGAUAAAAACAAUGGGGAAGAAGAUCAACUCCCCACUUGCCUUAAACUCAUUGCCAAAAAAGCACAGAGAGAACAAAUAGAAGAAGGGUAAAAUCAAUAAAAACUUAAAAUUGGAUACUUCCAACAGCAGUUCUGUACUGGGGGUCCAAGGCUGCAUCUAUCUCAUCAAAUAGAUAAAAAGGGGCAGGAUCACAUCGUUGUAUGGCAAAGAUCAAUGUCAGGGCAACAACAGUUUUCUGACCCCCUGACAAUUGCUUCAUAGAUUGUGUCUCUCCUUGCCCUGUAAAGGAAACCUAAACAGCAAACAACAAUUUUAAGUGCAAAAUACUUAAAUUACAACUUGCACAUGUCCUAAAGUACUGAAUAUGCCAUGGAAAUUUUGCACUGUCUUAUGCUUGCCCAUUAACUAAAAGAAAAGGGAAAAAUGCUGAAUGAAAAAUAAGAUAUAGAAGAAUUUCAUAGAGAACAUCUAAUUCAAACAAGUAAUAACGCAUGCAAAAUUUAAAAAUAAAAAUAAAAAGGUGCACCAACCAGCAUUUACCAUGCACGCAUAAUAAUUUAGCCACCUUUAACUUUUUUCUUGAAUCCAUUAUCAUGGAACAUUUUUUUUCCAAGUGAAAUAUCCUAGUAUAUCAGAUUAAAAAAAGCAUGAUGAAACCACCUGAUCUUCAAAUGAAGAGUGGUAAUUUUCAAGAGGAAAUGAAUCUAUCUCCAAUAAAAAGUAGUAAAUUAAUAAAAAAAUAAAUACAUGCCUUUACUUUCACGCCAAUGUAUUUCUCAACUCUCCCUUCCAAAUCUGCUUCACUAGGACCAUCAUCAUCAUAGUCAUCAUCACCUUGAUCACCAUCCUUUUUCUUCAUCAUAACUAGAUGACCAUGGCCACCUUGCACAAGUUCAGAGAAUACUUCUCGAAAAUGCCGAGCAACACCUUUAAAAGUACGCUCUAUAGAUUCAUCCUUCCUUUGAUCCAAAACAGAUAUAAGUUCUCUAAUUUUCUCAUCACCUGCAUCAAGUUCAGCUUGCCUUUUCUGAAGUUCUUCUCGUUGCUCAGUGAAGUUUACAUACUGAUCUAGUGCCUUUUUGUUGACGUGGCUAAACUGUUGCAGUUGUUCAUUGCACCUAUGAAGCAUUUUAUGCAACUCUUUGAUGCUCUUCCGCUUAUAUGUUUCAAAAGCAUCCGAUGACAGGGGGCCCAAUUCCCUAAUUUUGUUAGAAAACUCCUCUUGUUUGGCCUGAAGAGCAUUCCUCUUACUCAAUAACUGCUCUAAUUCUUUUGCUUCAUCCUGAAGUGUUCUCUCAUAGUUGUCUUCCAAAGCCUUUAAUUUUAUCUUUUCAUCUUUGAUCUUUUUGAGUUGCUUGGUUAUUUCAUCUAUACUGUCAGAAACUCUUUUCAUUUCCUGUGUCGUAACUUCAACCAAUGAUUUAGCAUCUGUCAAUUCCUGCCUCUUCAAAUCAGCUUCACCAUACAAUAAAUCAGUCUCUGCAGAUGAUAUUAUGGCUUCCAACUCUUGCUUUCGCCUUUUCAGAUUAGUUGUAAGAUUAGUCUCUAGCUCUGCUUUUCUUGUUUCAGUCUCAAUGCGAUCUGUUCUGCAGGCAAUAUGCUUCUCUUUGAGAUCUGCUAUUUCAGGGUUCAGUCGCGAUAGAAGAUCUUUUUCUUCCGGUGAUAAGUGAUCAAUGAGCUCUGUUCCCAUCUCAGCUUGUUUCAUGGCCAUACUGCCUUUAAGUUGAUCUAUUUGAGUUCGGACAUCUGCAAGUGACUUUCCCUUCUUUUCAAGGGCUUUUGAAAUAAAUUGUUUCUGCUUAUUAGCAUUAGCAAUAUCCUGCUUUAGCUGUUCCAACUCUGAUCUGUCAUGAGAUCGCUUGGCAUCAAUUUUCUGCUGCUCAGUUACGCGUUCAGUAAUUUUCUGAUCUAUAUCUUGUAGCAUAGAUCUAACUUUUUCCAAUUCUUCUUCCUUCAGGUUGAUAGAUUUUGUAUUCUGCAUAAUUAUAUUCAUGAACUUCAAUUUUGAACGUCGAUGGUCAUAAAAACCCCCCGUCAUACCACCUUUCUUGCUUACUUGAUCACCUUCUAAAGUUAUACAGUCCAGAUUAUCAGUUCGAGCAACUCUAGUGGCAACAUCCAAAUCUCGGCAAAUCACAGUUCUAGCAAAUACCUGGGCAAAUGCAGGGGUGAAAUUAGGAGAGAACUUCAAUUUCUUUAGCAAAGGUAUCACAUCAGAACUUUGCGGAUAAGUUACACGUGGCGCUUUUACCCUGUUCAGUGGUAUGAAAGUAACACGCCCACCUUUUGAUGAAUUAAGGUGUCUAAUUAUCUGGGUUGAUAUUUCAUCAUUCUCAACCACCACAUGAAAUAAGCUGUUUCCAGCAGUGACUUCAACAGCAGUGAAAAAUUUUUCAUCACAAUCAAGCAACUCAAUAAUUGGACCAAAUACUCCAUUGAUCUUAUAGUCUCUACAUAUCCGCCGAAUAGAAUUUAGCCCUCUUCUUACAUCACCAGGAGUUGCAUGAUCAAGGCUCUUCUCUGCCUUCUCAACUUCUGCUCUCAGUUUAUCAAUUUCAGCAAUAAGUGCACUUUCUUUUCCCCACAAUGACUUCCGCUCAUCCUGCAGCUUGUCUCUCUGUGCUUUAUGAUUAUUAAACCCUUCACGAGACUCUGAAACAAGAGAUUCUAAAGAAGCAAUUUCAGCUUUACGAUUCUCAAUGUAGGCAUCUCGCUCUUUCAAGUCCCCAUUAAGCUUACAAAUUUCAUCCUCAAGUUUUUGCUCCUGAGCCAAAUUUGAAGAAAGAACACGUUGCAGAUCAUCAAUUUCCUUUUGAAGCCAUUUAUCACGAGCGGCUUUGCUGGAGAAUUGGGUGGCACGACCCUGUUUUUGAUAAAGAAUGCUAAGCUGCUUUUCACGCUCCAUUAUUCCUUUAGUAAUAUCCUUUUCCUUUAUAGCUUGAUUCUCAUACAAUGGACUGAUUUUGUCAAGCUCUUCCAUUGAAUCUUGUAUUUCUCUUUGAAGUAUAUCAAGCUGCUUCAUUGCCUCCUCUUUAGCUUGGACAUUUCCAGAAAUCCUCUCUUGCAGAUCCUUUACAUCAAGCUCAAGCUCUGUCUGUUUUUUUAUUGCUUCAGUUUGUCGCUUCUCCACUAACUCUUUCUCUUUGUUCAAUCCUUGAACCUCUUUUGUAAGAUCUUUAAGCAUCUUGUCCAAAUCCUUGGACCUUUCAUGGGAAUCCAACACACUAUUAUACAUCUUAGCUGAUGUUUCAGAAACCUUGUUUCGAGCCUCUUCUACCUCCUCCAACUUCUGCCGAGCAUCAUGGAGUUCCUUAUCAUAAAUGGUAUAUUCUAAAGAUUUACGCUGUCUGUCAAGCUGCUGAUAUUUUCUGAGCUCCUCUUUCUCUUCAUCCAGUUCCUUUAGCCUCUCAUCCAAGUAUUGAACAACUUGAAUUAUCUGCUUUCUUUUGUUUCCUGUUUCUUGCAUAAUUUUCAAACUUUCACGGCGUCUCUCCUCAUAUACUCGAGUUCCACCAAUUUCCUUCAGUAAAUCCAGGCGCUCUGAGUCUUUCAUCAAUGUCAAUGAUGCUAUCUUUCCUUGCUGCACUACAUAAUAUGGAUUGGAGCGGGAGAACCCAGCGCUUUCUAGCAGAUUCAUCACUUCUGUUUUCGUGAUGUGCUUCCCAUCCAGAAAAUAUUCAUCCUUUUUCAAACCAAUUGUUCUACGCAGUCGUACUUCUUCCUUAUCAACCGGAAUGCGAUUGUCAUAAUUAUCGAACACAAUCUCGACAAAAGCAGACAAAACUUGGUGCCCUGCACCUUCAUGGAGUAGUGCAUGCCUAUCUUCACUACGCAGGUUUUGGAAGAGGUCACUCAGUACAAAACGAAUGGCAUGGAAAAAGUUUGUUUUGCCAGACCCAUUAGCGCCAACGACACAAUUAAUUUUUGGACUGAAAGGCUCAGUAGCAAUUUGUUCUCUGUAACUCUUAAAACCCUCAAUUAUAACCUGCUUUAUAUGCAUGCUGAAAUUAUUAAAUUAUCCAGCCUUCAAAUUGAACAUAUAUGGCGUCGGCGACUGAAAACGGCAAUACCAAACAGAAGCAGAAGGUGUAGGGUUUUGGUGUGCGACUAUGGGAGUUGUGUAGAGCUACCGAUAGAAAGAUCAGAGGAAGGAAAAGCAGUUGGUUAGGGUUAGGGUUUCGGUUUUGCAGUAGUACUCCAGAUAGUGUUUUGAGUAAGAGAGGAGACAAAGGAAAAUGAGAGAAAACAAGCGAAA
rnacentral:misc_RNA from 1 species